rnacentral:rRNA from 1 species
GACGAACCGUGCGAACGUUGUUCGGAAUCACUGGGCUUAAAGGGCGCGUAGGCGGGCCCACAAGUCCGGGGUGAAAUCUUUCGGCUUAACCGGAAAAGUGCCUUGGAUACUGGGGGCCUUGAGGGAGGCAGGGGCGGAUGGAACUUCCGGUGGAGCGGUGAAAUGCGUUGAUAUCGGAAGGAACGCCGGUGGCGAAAGCGAUCCGCUGGACCUCUUCUGACGCUGAGGCGCGGAAAGCCAGGGAGCAAAGCGGGG